rnacentral:rRNA from 1 species
GUGGGGAAUCUUGCGCAAUGGGCGAAAGCCUGACGCAGCCAUGCCGUGUGAAUGAUGAAGGUCUUAGGAUUGUAAAAUUCUUUCACCGGGGACGAUAAUGACGGUACCCGGAGAAGAAGCUCCGGCUAACUUCGUGCCAGCAGCCGCGGUAAUACGAAGGGGGCUAGCGUUGCUCGGAAUUACUGGGCGUAAAGGGCGCGUAGGCGGACAGUUUAGUCAGAGGUGAAAGCCCAGGGCUCAACCUUGGAAUUGCCUUUGAUACUGGCUGUCUUGAGUACGGGAGAGGUGAGUGGAACUCCGAGUGUAGAGGUGAAAUUCGUAGAUAUUCGGAAGAACACCAGUGGCGAAGGCGACUCACUGGCCCGUUACUGACGCUGAGGCGCGAAAGCGUGGGGAGCAAACAGGAUUAGAAACCCUAGUAGUCC